AUUGAACGCUGGCGGCAGGCCUAACACAUGCAAGUCGAGCGGAUGAAAGGGGCUUGCUCCUGGAUUCAGCGGCGGACGGGUGAGUAAUACGCAGGAAUCUACCUAGUAGUGGGGGAUAACGUUUCGAAAGGGACGCUAAUACCGCAUACGUUCUGAGGGAGAAAGCGGGGGACCGGCAAGGCCUCGCGCUAUUGGAGCGGCCGAUGUCAGAUUAGGUAGUUGGUGGGGUAAAGGCCUACCAAGCCUACGAUCUGUAGCUGGUCUGAGAGGACGACCAGCCACACUGGGACUGAGACACGGCCCAGACUCCUACGGGAGGCAGCAGUGGGGAAUUUUGGACAAUGGGCGAAAGCCUGAUCCAGCCAUGCCGCGUGCGGGAAGAAGGCCU
rnacentral:rRNA from 1 species